AGUGAACGCUGGCGGUAGGCCUAACACAUGCAAGUCGAACGGCAGCACAGUAAGAGCUUGCUCUUACGGGUGGCGAGUGGCGGACGGGUGAGGAAUACAUCGGAAUCUACUUUUUCGUGGGGGAUAACGUAGGGAAACUUACGCUAAUACCGCAUACGACCUACGGGUGAAAGCAGGGGAUCUUCGGACCUUGCGCGAUUGAAUGAGCCGAUGUCGGAUUAGCUAGUUGGCGGGGUAAAGGCCCACCAAGGCGACGACCUGUAGCUGGUCUGAGAGGAUGAUCAGCCACACUGGAACUGAGACACGGUCCAGACUCCUACGGGAGGCAGCAGUGGGGAAUAUAGGACAAUGGGCGCAAGCCUGAUCCAGCCAUACCGCGUGGGUGAAGAAGGCCUUCGGGUUGUAAAGCCCUUUUGUUGGGAAAGAAAAGCAGCAGGUUAAUACCCCGCUGUUCUGACGGUACCCAAAGAAUAAGCACCGGCUAACUUCGUG
rnacentral:rRNA from 1 species